rnacentral:rRNA from 1 species
UACGGGGGGGGCAAGCGUUGUUCGGAAUUACUGGGCGUAAAGGGCUCGUAGGCGGCCAACUAAGUCAGACGUGAAAUCCCUCGGCUUAACCGGGGAACUGCGUCUGAUACUGGAUGGCUUGAAUCCGGGAGAGGGAUGCGGAAUUCCAGGUGUAGCGGUGAAAUGCGUGGAUAUCUGGAGGAACACCGGUGGCGAAGGCGGCAUCCUGGACCGGCAUUGACGCUGAGGAGCGAAAGCCAGGGGGGCAAACGGG